GCCGCGGUAAUACGGAGGGUGCAAGCGUUAUCCGGAAUCACUGGGUUUAAAGGGUGCGUAGGCGGCUUUGAUAAGUCAGAGGUGAAAGCCUGGAGCUUAACUUCAGAACUGCCUUUGAUACUGUCGAGCUUGAAAGAGAUUGAGGUCAGCGGAACGUGACAUGUAGCGGUGAAAUGCAUAGAUAUGUCACAGAACACCAAUUGCGAAGGCAGCUGACUGGGUCUGCUUUGACGCUGAGGCACGAAAGCGUGGGGAGCGAACAGGAUUAGAUACCCUGGUAGUCCACGCCCUAAACGAUGCUUACUCGAUAUUCGCCCUUUGGGGUGAGUGUCCAAGUGAAAACGAUAAGUAAGCC
rnacentral:rRNA from 1 species